AGCGAACGCUGGCGGCAGGCCUAACACAUGCAAGUCGAACGAACCUUUCGGGGUUAGUGGCGGACGGGUGAGUAACACGUGGGAACGUGCCUUUAGGUUCGGAAUAACUCAGGGAAACUUGUGCUAAUACCGAAUGUGCCCUUCGGGGGAAAGAUUUAUCGCUUUUAGAGCGGCCCGCGGGUGUUUAGCUAGUUGGUUGGGGUAAUGGCUCACCAAGGCGUCGAUCAGUAGCCGGCCUGAGAGGAUGAUCGGAGACAUUGGGACUGAGAUACGGCCCAGACUCCUACGGGAGGCAGGAGUGGGGAAUAUUGCACAAUGGGAGGAAGCCUGAUGAAGCAACGCCGAGUGCGGGAGGACGGACUUCGGGUUGUAAACCGCUUUCGCCUGUGACGAAGCGUGAGUGAGGGUAAUGGGUAAAGAAGCACCGGCUAACUACGUG
rnacentral:rRNA from 1 species